GCGGGAAUUCCAGCUCCAAUAGCGUAUAUUAAAGUUGUUGCAGUUAAAAAGCUCGUAGUUGAAUUUCGGGAUUGACACAUCGGUCGUGCCUUAAGGGGUAUGAACUGGUGUAGUCAAUUUCUCACCUUCUGGAGAACCGCGAUGCCCUUAAUUGGGUGUCACGGGGAACCAGGACCUUUACUUUGAAAAAAUUAGAGUGUUUAAAGCAGGCAUUUUGCUUGAAUACAUUAGCAUGGAAUAAUAAAAUAGGACGGCAUGAUUCUAUUUUGUUGGUUUCUAGGAUCACCGUAAUGAUUAAUAGGGAUAGUUGGGGGCAUUAGUAUUCAAUUGUCAGAGGUGAAAUUCUUGGAUUUAUUGAAGACUAACUACUGCGAAAGCAUUUGCCAAGGAUGUUUUCAUUAAUCAAGAACGAAAGUUAGGGGAUCGAAGACGAUCAGAUACCGUCGUAGUCUUAACCAUAAACUAUGCCGACUAGGAAUCAGACGAUGUUAAUAC
rnacentral:rRNA from 1 species